AUUGAACGCUGGCGGCAGGCCUAACACGUGCAAGUCGAACGGUAACAGAAAGCAGCUUGCUGCUUUGCUGACGAGUGGCGGACGGGUGAGUAAUGUCUGGGAAACUGCCUGAUGGAGGGGGAUAACUACUGGAAACGGUAGCUAAUACCGCAUAACGUCGCAAGACCACAGAGGGGGACCUUCGGGCCUCUUGCCAUCGGAUGUGCCCAGAUGGGAUUAGCUAGUAGGUGGGGUAACGGCUCACCUAGGCGACGAUCCCUAGCUGGUCUGAGAGGAUGACCAGCCACACUGGAACUGAGACACGGUCCAGACUCCUACGGGAGGCAGCAGUGGGGAAUAUUGCACAAUGGGCGCAAGCCUGAUGCAGCCAUGCCGCGUGUAUGAAGAAGGCCUUCGGGUUGUAAAGUACUUUCAGCGGGGAGGAAGGGAGUAAAGUUAAUACCUUUGCUCAUUGACGUUACCCGCAGAAGAAGCACCGGCUAACUCCGUG
rnacentral:rRNA from 1 species